AUUGAACGCUGGCGGCAGGCCUAACACAUGCAAGUCGAACGGUAACAGGAAGAAGCUUGCUUCUUUGCUGACGAGUGGCGGACGGGUGAGUAAUGUCUGGGAAACUGCCUGAUGGAGGGGGAGAACUACUGGAAACGGUAGCUAAUACCGCAUAACGUCGCAAGAGCAAAGAGGGGGACCUUCGGGCCUCUUGCCAUCGGAUGUGCCCAGAUGGGAUUAGCUAGUAGGUGGGGUAACGGCUCACCUAGGCGACGAUCCCUAGCUGGUCUGAGAGGAUGACCAGCCACACUGGAACUGAGACACGGUCCAGACUCCUACGGGAGGCAGCAGUGGGGAAUAUUGCACAAUGGGCGCAAGCCUGAUGCAGCCAUGCCGCGUGUAUGAAGAAGGCCUUCGGGUUGUAAAGUCCUUUCAGCGGGGAGGAAGGGAGUAAGGUUAAUACCUUGGCUCAUUGACGUUACCCGCAGAAGAAGCACCGGCUAACUCCGUG
rnacentral:rRNA from 1 species